rnacentral:rRNA from 1 species
CAAUAGCGUAUAUUUAAGUUGUUGCAGUUAAAAAGCUCGUAGUCGGAUUUUGGCUGAGAACGAUCGGUCCGCCGUUAGGUGUGCACUGAUUGGUCUCGGCUUCCUGGUGAGGAGGUGUGCUUCACGGCCACUUAGUCACCGUGGUUACUUUGAAAAAAUUAGAGUGUUCAAAGCGGGCUUACGCUUGAAUAUAUUAGCAUGGAAUAACACCAUAGGACUCCUGUCCUAUUUCGUUGGUCACGGGACGGGAGUAAUGAUUAAGAGGAACAGUUGGGGGCAUUCGUAUUUCAUUGUCAGAGGUGAAAUUCUUGGAUUUAUGAAAGACGAACUUCUGCGAAAGCAUUUGCCAAGGAUGUUUUCAUUGA